GACGGAGGAUGCAAGUGUUAUCCGGAAUCACUGGGCGUAAAGCGUCUGUAGGUGGUCAAAUAAGUCAACUGUUAAAUCUUGAGGCUCAACCUCAAAAUCGCAGUCGAAACUAUUAGACUAGAGUAUAGUAGGGGUAAAGGGAAUUUCCAGUGGAGCGGUGAAAUGCGUAGAGAUUGGAAAGAACACCGAUGGCGAAGGCAGCUCUCUGGGACGGUACUGACGCUGAGACGCGAAAGCGUGGGGAGCGAACAGG
rnacentral:rRNA from 1 species